GAUUUUGUGUUUAUGAAGAGUUUCAAUGCUAGGGGUGUAUUUAAAGAGUCGUUAGGACUCCUUGUUUCGCGCCCCAGGAGUCGUGUCUGCGACAUGAUACAUGGGUCGUGUAUCACUAUAUAGGUCCCGACAUGUAGAGCCGUGUAAAUUUAUGUCCGAAAAUUUCAAAUUCUGUCGUAGUACACUGCCCGUAUAAAUGAGCUCUAGGCACAUGUAACUUUCUGUCUCUCCCAGGUUUAAAAAUGCA
rnacentral:misc_RNA from 1 species